rnacentral:rRNA from 1 species
UCAAAUGGAGAGUUUGAUCCUGGCUCAGGAUGAACGCUGGCGGCAUGCCUAAUACAUGCAAGUCGAACGAGAG